UACGAAGGGGGCUAGCGUUGCUCGGAAUCACUGGGCGUAAAGGGUGCGUAGGCGGGUCUUUAAGUCAGGGGGGAAAUCCUGGAGCUCAACUCCAGAACUGCCUUUGAUACUGAGGAUCUUGAGUACGGGAGAGGUGAGUGGAACUGCGAGUGUAGAGGUGAAAUUCGUAGAUAUUCGCAAGAACCCCAGUGGCGAAGGCGGCUCACUGGCCCGUUACUGACGCUGAGGCACGAAAGCGUGGGGAGCAAACAGG
rnacentral:rRNA from 1 species